UACGUAGGGUGCAAGCGUUAAUCGGAAUACUGGGCGUAAAGCGUGCGCAGGCGGUGAUGUAAGACAGGUGUGAAAUCCCCGGGCUUAACCUGGGAACUGCAUUUGUGACUGCAUCGCUGGAGUGCGGCAGAGGGGGAUGGAAUUCCGCGUGUAGCAGUGAAAUGCGUAGAUAUGCGGAGGAACACCGAUGGCGAAGGCAAUCCCCUGGGCCUGCACUGACGCUCAUGCACGAAGCGUGGGA
rnacentral:rRNA from 1 species